CUACUGCCUGUUAAGUGUUCAAUAAAUAUUUGCACACUUAUGGGUCAGGCACACUGUUGCAAUGAGUCAAACUUAUCCAGUGGAAAGCAUUAUGGAUUUAGUGAUUAGCGGAUAAAUUCUAGGACCACUACUAAUUUUCCUUGGAUUACCUGAAACGAGAGGAUUUCCUCGUCUGUAAAAACCGGCAUAUUUCUACCUGUCGCCACCUCACCGAGAUGUUGCUAGGAUCACGUGGCAGAGAGCAUUUAUUUGCUCUGCGUAAGGAGGAUGUGUUACAGACAUCAGUCUGACCCAGGACUCUCCGGGCAGCUACUGGGGCACGUCCACGUCAUCCCGUUACAUAAGGGGCCCGCCCGUCCGGAGUCCUCUGAAAUCCCUGACCCCGAGUCACCGGCCACCGCCCCGAGGACGCCAUAGGAUGCCUUGAGGCUAGGCGGUGUAGGGUGGCGCCCACCCGAAGAUUGCGGCCGGCCGGCUGCAGUAAGCUUGUGAAACAGCUGUGGCUCUCGGCGCUGAGACCGGAAACCCCACCACACCCACCCGCCGCUAGCCAGCUCCUGGUCGGUUUGAACUUGACCCUGUUUUGCCGUUGCUAGGAGACCCGGCUCCGGCGCGCCCCCCACUGGCCCGCUCCCGGGCGCGCACGGGAAGGGGGCGGGGCCCCGGCAGGCGCCGGGGGCGGUCGGCAGAGCACCGUUAGGGCUGCCCGGCGCCGGGCCAGCGUCCCUGGAAGCGGCGUCUCGUCCCCUGCCACCGCCCAGGCCUCGCCGGCGCCCUCCCGCUGGUAUCAAAGCACUGCCGAGUGGCAGAGAGUCACGCUGGAUCCGGGCGCGGGAAGGACAUUCAGUCAGGGCUGCAACCGCCAGAGCUUCCUGGAGAGCUAAGCUGAGCGGGCGUGGGGUGCUUGUCCGCCCCAGUGUCGAGAAGCCUACCAAUGCUUUCUCAUUUGGACCCACGCUCCAAUUCAGGAGCAGUCUGGUAACUGGAUCUCCUAGGAAGAGAAGUUCUUAAAGAGUAAGAAGAAAGCAUUUCAAUUUGGA
rnacentral:lncRNA from 1 species